CGUGUCGGCUGAAUCAGAGAUUGGCUGACACACUUUUAAAAACCUAACUCUUAUUAGGAGAGAUAUAUGUCUCUGAAUGCAGAAACUAAAGCAGCAAUCGUUGCAGAAUACGCGCAAGUAGAA
rnacentral:ncRNA from 1 species